rfam:TPA: Bos taurus chromosome 14, whole genome shotgun sequence.
UUCCAGGUAGCUCAGUGGUAAAGAAUCUGCCUGCCAAACAGGAGACUCGGGUUCCAUUCCUGGGUUGGAAA